rnacentral:rRNA from 1 species
UACGGAGGGGGCGAGCGUUAUUCGGAAUUAUUGGGCGUAAAGGGCGCGUAGGCGGCCCUGCAAGUCAAAGGUGAAAUCCCUCGGCUCAACCGAGGAACUGCGCUUCAUACUGCAUGGCUUGAGGGAGACAGGGGUAAGCGGAACUGAUGGUGGAGCGGUGAAAUGCGUUGAUAUCAUCAGGAACACCGGUGGCGAAAGCGGCUUACUGGGUCUCUUCUGACGCUGAGGUACGAAAGCUAGGGGAGCGAACGGG